AAGACGUUAAUAAAAUAUUAUAUUGCCUUGUCAAGGCAAAAUUGUGGGUUAAACCCCCGCACGUCUUA